rnacentral:rRNA from 1 species
UGAGUAACGCGUGGGUAACCUGCCCUAGUACAGGGGGAUAACAGUCAGAAAUGCUGCUAAUACCGCAUAAGACCACAGCACCGCAUGGUGCAGGGGUAAAAACUCCGGUGGUACAGGAUGGACCCGCGUCUGAUUAGCUGGUUGGUGAGGUAACGGCUCACCAAGGCGACGAUCAGUAGCCGGCUUGAGAGAGUGAACGGCCACAUUGGGACUGAGACACGGCCCAAACUCCUACGGGAGGCAGCAUG